UACGUAGGGUGCGAGCGUUGUCCGGAAUUAUUGGGCGUAAAGAGCUUGUAGGCGGUCUGUCGCGUCUGCUGUGAAAAUCCGGGGCUCAACCCCGGACUUGCAGUGGGUACGGGCAGACUAGAGUGUGGUAAGGGGAGACUGGAAUUCCUGGUGUAGCGGUGAAAUGCGCAGAUAUUGGGGAGGAACACCAGCGGCGAAGGCGGCACUCUGGGCUGGUACUGAACGCU
rnacentral:rRNA from 1 species